ensembl:rRNA 5S_rRNA 5S ribosomal RNA
GCUUAUGGCCACACCGCCUGGUUCACGGCUGAUCUCGUUUGAUCUCGGAAGCUAUUAUAGGUUGGGCCUGGUUAGUACUUUGAUGGGAGACCGCCUGGAAAUACCAGGUGUUGUAAGAU